rnacentral:rRNA from 1 species
UUUUCCUACGGGAGGCAGCAGUGAGGAAUAUUGGUCAAUGGACGCAAGUCUGAACCAGCCAUGCCGCGUGCAGGAAGACGGCUCUAUGAGUUGUAAACUGCUUUUGUACGAGGGUAAACGCAGAUACGUGUAUCUGUCUGAAAGUAUCGUACGAAUAAGGAUCGGCUAACUCCGUGCCAGCAGCCGCGGUAAUACGUAGGUGGCGAGCGUUAUCCGGAUUUAUUGGGUUUAAAGGGUGCGUAGGCGGUAUCUUAAGUUAGUGGUAAAACGUCGGGGCUUCACCUUGAUUGGCCAUUAAAACUGGA